UCUACUGCUUUUUGAUUCUGAAGAGUUGCAAUUAAUGACUAACUGGUGACAACUCAAUCAAAACCCCAAGAGAAAGUGAGUCCAGCCCUUAGUAGCCAGUAAUUACUACCUCUUUGCUCUCUUCUUUUCCUGUCUUCCUCAACUCAGUGACGUGGAGCUGAAAUAGACGGUGCAUGUGUUUUAUUAGCACUGUGGUAUAUACUGGAGCUUUAUGGCCCAUGCCCUUAAAGAAUGGGUUAGCUAAACCCAUUAUUAGGUUACUUUUUAAUUUGUGUGUAGGUAGGUGAUUUUUACUCUCGUGGGGCUGGGACUCAAUUAAAAAAAAAAGGAGAAGAAGAAAGUUUCCACGCUCACCACAGGAAGCCAUCAUAAACUUGUGAGCUGGGGUGCUUCAUCACAACUAAACACCCAGGGACUUGUACUGAACUGGCAGCUGCUGGUAAGGCAGGCCCUGCCCACCACAGCCCUGGCUGUUGGGAGCUGACCCACCCCAUCCUCUGCAUGGAUACAGAACCUUCUCAGUUUGGGCCCCUUAGCUAAAACUGGGUUCUUCUGUCUCUAAAAUCCCAUGGCUUCUAGGGUUUCUCCUAUGACAUUUCUUCUACUGUACGUAAAAUGACAAUUAUUUGGGUCUCUUCUUUCCUACUGGGCUGUAAACAGCUUUAAAUUUUUUUUAUUUUAUUGGGUUGGCCAAAAAGUUCAUUUGGUUUUAGGUAAAAAUAAAACACACUUCAUUUUCACCAAGAACUUUAUCGAACAUAUUCAUUAACCAAACGAACUUUUUGGCCAACCCAAUAUAUUAUAGUUGAUUAACAAUGUUGUGUUCAUUUCAGGUGUACAGCAGAGUGAUUCAGUUAUACAUAUACAUGUAUCUAUUCUUUUUCAAAUUCUUUUCCCACUUAGGUUACUACAGAAUAUUAAGCAGAGCUCCCUGUGCUAUACAGUAGGUCCUCGUUGGUCAUCUAUUUAAAAUAUAGCAGGGUGCACAUGUCAAUCCCAAACUCCCUAACUAUGCCUCCCCCCACCCUUCCCCCCUGGUAACCAGGGCUGUAAACUUCUGACACCUGUCCUGCAGCUGUGAACUCACCUUUGCCACCAACACAGGGAGCAGAGCUGAGCCCGGCAUGAAGGUUUUCUGAGACAAUGAAGGUAGUGGGAAGGUGAAGAAAGAAGCAAAGCUGGGCUUUUCUGCUGUCUUUGCUAAGUCUCUGAAGCUCCUGAUAACUGACAACAUGAUUUCUGAGUCUGUACUUACUCUACUGUAUUGGGACCUGAAUAGUAUGAUGGAGAAUUUGACCCUGAAAACACUCUUCGUGAACAGUCCCAGCUGGCUUAGCUGGGCCUUUCAUUUAGUCAUCUGGGGUAGGAAGGACUGAGACCUGCUGUGACCUUCAGGGCUGGAUGAACCUUCAAAGACAAACAACAGUGCGGGGCCUAUGAGAAGGAUGACAUCAGAGGGACAGGGGUGAAGGCCAAAGAAUUCUCAGGCCCAUCUCUAGGCUGGAGGCAAGCUGGAGUCAUCAGGUCUAGAGAGAAGCAAGGAGCCAGGUCCCCGCGUGUACCCCAGAAGCUGACCCCUGCAAACUCCGGGGCUCCCAGCAAGUUUCACCAAUGGGAGGCUGCAGCAGGACACUGGAGGGGGCUGGGGAGAGGGGGGAGAAGCCCGGGCAUCCCUCCCCGUAUGCCGGGCUCCGGUAGUCACCGGGUGUCCCAACAUCCCGGUCCGUUCCUGUGAGGAGUCAUUCACUGAAGACUCUUCAUUUGAGCCACUGGGGUGAAGCGUGCCUUUGGCGGGGAUGCCGACUGCACAACCACCCAUGCUGGCUCCCACUUGCUUCACACAGUUGAGAACAGCAGAGGUGGGAAGAGCUCAUGCCGCCCAAAUAAAGCAAGUUCCUCUCUG